ensembl:snRNA U4 U4 spliceosomal RNA
AGCCUUGUGUUGGCAGUAUCAUAGCUAAUGAGGUUAAUCUGAGGUGUGAUUAUUGUUAGUUGAAAACUUUUCCUAGUAUUCUGCUGUGUUGAUUUGAAAUAUAGUUGGUGUUGGCAAUUUUUUAUAGUCUCCUGUGAGA